AGUGAACGCUGGCGGUAGGCCUAACACAUGCAAGUCGAACGGCAGCACAGUAAGAGCUUGCUCUUACGGGUGGCGAGUGGCGGACGGGUGAGGAAUACAUCGGAAUCUACUUUUUUGUGGGGGAUAACGUAGGGAAACUUGCGCUAAUACCGCAUACGACCUACGGGUGAAAGCAGGGGAUCUUCGGACCUUGCGCGAUUGAAUGAGCCGAUGUCGGAUUAGCUAGUUGGCGGGGUAAAGGCCCACCAAGGCGACGAUCCGUAGCUGGUCUGAGAGGAUGAUCAGCCACACUGGAACUGAGACACGGUCCAGACUCCUACGGGAGGCAGCAGUGGGGAAUAUUGGACAAUGGGCGCAAGCCUGAUCCAGCCAUACCGCGUGGGUGAAGAAGGCCUUCGGGUUGUAAAGCCCUUUUGUUGGGAAAGAAAAGCAGCAGGUUAAUACCCCGCUGUUCUGACGGUACCCAAAGAAUAAGCACCGGCUAACUUCGUG
rnacentral:rRNA from 1 species